CGCCAUCGUUGAAGAGUUGAGGGUGUGUGUAGCAUAGUGGUGAAACGGAUCAGUGUGUCCACGGUUCGGUUCAGAUAACCGUUUUGGGCCUCGGUUUCGGAUACGGUUCGGAUCAUGUCCGUGAUAGUAAAAAGGCGGACUUUUUUUUGACGGAGGGUUUGGGGGAGAAACACAAAAAUGAAUGAGACCCACAGGCUAUUUGCAAUGUGUUAAUUGACUGCAAUCAGACAACUUGCAAGGCUUUUUUGUGCAAUAAAUGUUCCCCUAAAUGCAUUUGAAAACAUGGUGCACUGAGUGUAACAUGUAAGGGAUAACGGCCGACGAGGCUUAGAACUCUGGCGACGAGCGCAACGAAGGGCGGGAAAAGUCUCAUUGGCUCGGGCAGCACUGGAGAGAAUGCAUUCCGCUGGGUCCUAAACACCCUUUUGUAUCGGACGUAGGCUACAGUAGGCAAAAUAC